CCUACGGGCGGCAGCAGUGGGGAAUAUUGGGCAAUGGGCGCAAGCCUGACCCAGCAACGCCGCGUGAAGGAAGAAGGCUUUCGGGUUGUAAACUUCUUUUCUCAGGGACGAAGCAAGUGACGGUACCUGAGGAAUAAGCCACGGCUAACUACGUGCCAGCACCCGCGGUAAUACGGAGGUGGCAAGCGUUAUCCGGAUUUACUGGGUGUAAAGGGCGUGUAGGCGGGAUUGCAAGUCAGAUGUGAAAACCACGGGCUCAACCUGUGGCCUGCAUUUGAAACUGUAGUUCUUGAGUACUGGAGAGGCAGACGGAAUUCCGGGUGUAGCGGUGAAAUGCGUAGAUAUUAGGAGGAACACCAGUGGCGAAGGCGGUCUGCUGCACAGCAACUGACGCUGAGGCGCGAAAGCGUGGGAGCAAACAGGAUUAGAUACCCUGGUAGUC
rnacentral:rRNA from 1 species